GACGAACGCUGGCGGCGUGCUUAACACAUGCAAGUCGAACGGAAAGGCCCUGCUUUUGUGGGGUGCUCGAGUGGCGAACGGGUGAGUAACACGUGAGUAACCUGCCCUUGACUUUGGGAUAACUUCAGGAAACUGGGGCUAAUACCGGAUAGGAGCUCCUGCUGCAUGGUGGGGGUUGGAAAGUUUCGGCGGUUGGGGAUGGACUCGCGGCUUAUCAGCUUGUUGGUGGGGUAGUGGCUUACCAAGGCUUUGACGGGUAGCCGGCCUGAGAGGGUGACCGGCCACAUUGGGACUGAGAUACGGCCCAGACUCCUACGGGAGGCAGCAGUGGGGAAUAUUGCACAAUGGGCGGAAGCCUGAUGCAGCAACGCCGCGUGCGGGAUGACGGCCUUCGGGUUGUAAACCGCUUUCGCCUGUGACGAAGCGUGAGUGACGGUAAUGGGUAAAGAAGCACCGGCUAACUACGUGCCAGCAGCCGCGGUGAUACGUAGGGUGCGAGCGUUGUCCGGAUUUAUUGGGCGUAAAGGGCUCGUAGGUGGUUGAUCGCGUCGGAAGUGUAAUCUUGGGGCUUAACCCUGAGCGUGCUUUCGAUACGGGUUGACUUGAGGAAGGUAGGGGAGAAUGGAAUUCCUGGUGGAGCAGUGGAAUGCGCAGAUAUCAGGAGGAACACCAGUGGCGAAGGCGGUUCUCUGGGCCUUUCCUGACGCUGAGGAGCGAAAGCGUGGGGAGCGAACAGGCUUAGAUACCCUGGUAGUCCACGCUGUAAACGGUGGGUACUAGGUGUGGGGUCCAUUCCACGGGUUCCGUGCCGUAGCUAACGCUUUAAGUACCCCGCCUGGGGAGUACGGCCGCAAGGCUAAAACUCAAAGGAAUUGACGGGGCCCCGCACAAGCGGCGGAGCAUGCGGAUUAAUUCGAUGCAACGCGUAGAACCUUACCUGGGUUUGACAUGGAUCGGGAGUGCCCAGAGAUGGGUGUGCCUCUUUUGGGGUCGGUUCACAGGUGGUGCAUGGCUGUCGUCAGCUCGUGUCGUGAGAUGUUGGGUUAAGUCCCGCAACGAGCGCAACCCUUGUUCACUGUUGCCAGCACGUUAUGGUGGGGACUCAGUGGAGACCGCCGGGGUCAACUCGGAGGAAGGUGGGGAUGACGUCAAGUCAUCAUGCCCCUUAUGUCCAGGGCUUCACGCAUGCUACAAUGGCUGGUACAGAGAGUGGCGAGCCUGUGAGGGUGAGCGAAUCUCGGAAAGCCGGUCUCAGUUCGGAUUGGGGUCUGCAACUCGACCUCAUGAAGUCGGAGUCGCUAGUAAUCGCAGAUCAGCAACGCUGCGGUGAAUACGUUCCCGGGGCU
rnacentral:rRNA from 1 species